GCCAAAGUGGCGGAACUGGUAGACGCGCUGGACUCAAAAUCCAGUGGGAUAACACCCGUGUGGGUUCGAGCCCCACCUUUGGUA
rnacentral:tRNA from 2 species